CCUACGGGAGGCAGCAGUGAGGAAUAUUGGACAAUGGGCGAGAGCCUGAUCCAGCCAUGCCGCGUGCAGGAAGACGGCCCUAUGGGUUGUAAACUGCUUUUAUACAGGAAGAAACACUCCCUCGUGAGGGAGCUUGACGGUACUGUAGGAAUAAGGAUCGGCUAACUCCGUGCCAGCAGCCGCGGUAAU
rnacentral:rRNA from 1 species